rnacentral:rRNA from 1 species
AUUGAACGCUGGCGGCAGGCUUAACACAUGCAAGUCUAGCGAGCGGCGGACGGGUGAGUAAUGUCUGGGAAACUUCCUGGUGGUGGGGGAUAACUACUUGAAAUGGUAGCUAAUACCGCCUACCAUCAGCUGUGCCCAAAUGGGAUUAGCUAGUAGGUGGGGUAAUGGGUCACGUAGGCGACGAUCCCUCGCUGGUCUGAGAGGAUGACCAGCAACACGGGAGCGGAGAAACGGUGCAGACGCCUACGAGAGGGAGCAGGGGGGAGUAUGGAAAAAGUGGUGCAAGCCUGAUGAAGGGAUGGCGCGUGUGUGAAGAAGGCCUUCGGGAUGUAAAGCACUUUCAGCGAGGAGGCGUUACUCGCAGAAGAAUCACCGGCUAAUUCAGUGCCAACAGCCGCGGUAAUAC